rnacentral:sRNA from 1 species
GAAUAAAGCGUGAAGGAUAACGUUGCGUCAGCAACGGCCCGUAGGGCGAGGCGAAGCCGAGUCAUCCUGCACGACCCACCA